rnacentral:lncRNA from 1 species
AUGAGGCAUUUGGUAUGCAGAGGAGAAGAUAAUGAUCCAGAUAAUCAUGGUCUCAUUGGCAAAUAUUUGUUGUUUGUCCAUUUGUUUUGUGAGAAGAUUUUUACCUAUUGGAUACUUGAGUUGAGGCACUUGGGUAGCAGGUUACUGUCAAAUAGCACAUGUUCCUUCAUGGGGUGGUUGUCAACUCAAGACUUCAAACUUGUUUGAAAAUUUUUAGCAUCGACAUUUCUGUGACAGACGUUUUUCAAAUUUGUUGAAAUAGGACAAUGCUGUAAAGGUGAUCUGCGCUGCCAAUGCUGGAC